rnacentral:rRNA from 1 species
CAUCUGGCGGAUGGCUUGGCUCGGGAGCCGAGGAAGGGCGUGCCAAGCUGCGAUAAGCUCCGGGUAGGCGCAAGGAGCCUUUGAUCCGGAGAUCCCCUAAUGGGACUUCCUGCUAUGGUAAACCCAUAGCGGUUGCUUGGCAAUCGGGAACGCGGGGAAUUGAAACAUCUUAGUACCCGCAGGAAAAGAAAGCAAUAGCGAUGCCGUUAGUAGGGGCGACCGAAAACGGCAGAGGGCAAACCGAAUCCUUUGCUGAAAAGCAGAGGAGAUGUGGAGUUCGGACCCCGGUACUCCCAAAUGGCGAAUUCGAAGUUGGCUGGAAUGCCACACCUUAGAGGGUGAUAGUCCCGUAGAAGUAAGCCAGGAGGGAGAUUCCGGGAGUUCCAGAGUAGCGCGCGUCGGAUAUCGCGCGUGAAUACGGGAGGCAUAAACUCCCAACCCUAAAUACAUCCCGAGACCGAUAGCGAAUUAGUAGCGUGAGCAAACGCUGAAAAGUACCCCGAAGAGGGAGGUGAAAAGAGCCUGAAACCAGAUGGCUACAGGCAGGUAGGGCGUGAAAGAGCUUUAUGCUCAGCGUCCUGCUAUACGUUCCGAAAAACGGGCCAGGGAGUUUCUGGCGAUGGCGAGGCUAAGUGCUUUAAGCACGGAGCCGUAGCGAAAGCGAAAGCCUGCAGUGUCUUAUGACACGAGAGGCGAGGUAUGAUUGCCUUAAGUCAUCGUCAGAAGACCCGAAACCGGUUGAUCUAUGCGCGGCCAGGUCGAAGCCUUCCUUAAGGGAGGUGGAGGACCGAACCGGUGCUGACGUGCAAAUCGCUCGGAUGAGCCGCGUAUAGGGGUGAAAGGCCAAUCUAAACCGGAGAUAGCUGGUUCCCUCCGAAGCUUCCCGCAGGAAGUCCUCCGGCGAGGUAGGUGGCGCGGUAGAGCACUGAUUGGGUGUUUAGAGGAGGAAACUCUUCGGCACCCUGUCAAACUCCGAAUGCGUCACCGCCGUAGACCCGGGGAGUUCGGGCGCCUGGGGUAAGCUUGGUGUCCGAAAGGGAAUGAACCCAGCCUUACGUUAAGGUCCCCAAGUACUGGCUAAGUGCGACCCAAAGGCGGUCCACAUCCUAAAACAGCUGGGAGGUAGGCUUAGAAGCAGCCAUCCUUUAAAGAGUGCGUAACAGCUCACCAGUCGAGGAUGUGGGCUCCGAAAAUGGACGGGGCUCAAGCCAGUCACCGAUACGUAAGCACGAUGAGUGGGUAGGAGGGCGCGGUGUAUGGGCAGAAGCUGGGGCGUGAGCUCCAGUGGACCGUGCACCGUCGAGAAUCCUGGCGAAAGUAGCAGCAAAGUCGGGUGAGAAUCCCGACCGCCGAAGGGGCCAGGGUUCCACGGCAAUGUUCGUCAGCCGUGGGUUAGCCGGUCCUAAGGAUUACCCCAACUGGAGUAAUCCGAAAGGGAAGCGGGUUAAUAUUCCCGCGCUACCAUAGACUAUACUCCAUGUAUGAAGCAUCUGGAUAGGCUGAGUAGUGCAGUCGCACUAUCUAAGCACUUAAGCCCCCGGAGUGCCGUAAUGGCGAGAAGGGGGUGAAGGUGUGAUGGGGUCCCCAAUUGAGGGGACUUCAGCUGAUUCCUGGUGCCCGUGAAAAGUACAUGGCGUGGUCUAUGGUAUCCGUACCUAGAACUGACACAGGUGCCCCUAGGUGAGAAGCCUAAGGCGUGUCGGACUAAUCCGCCCGAGGGAACUCGGCAAACUAGCCCCGUAACUUCGGGAGAAGGGGUGC